CCCCACAAUACAUAACCUUUGAUAAUUUUCUGAUUUUUCCCAUGGCACCUGAAAUCUCCAAAUUCAGAAAUGACGUGGACGUCGGAACGCCCACGUUGAUUCACCGGACAGUUGGCCAAAACCUCCUAAUUAAUAGGAGACGUCGUCGUUUUCUAUGUAUUUUCCCAGAUUAAAAACAAUUUCCCCCUCCCCUUUGCGGCUGAGCCCUAAUUUUCGUCCUUUGAGAGAGCUUUCGUCUGAAAUCGCAGAACUUCAUCUGAAAUCGCGCAAGUGAGUGCAGGGAGAAGAGAGCUUCUAAAAUCGCAUAACCUAUCUCUACCAUUUUGCUGGAGCCCUAAUUUUUGCGAGAGCGAGCGAGCAUCUUCGGUGAAGGAGCGAGCGUCGAAGAGAGCAGGGAGCAUGAAACUCGAUUUGUAGGGAGAAUGGAGCAGGGACUCGAUUUGCAGGAACUGAAUAAAGCAGUGAAUCGAUUUUUAGGGUAUCUGUCUCUGAAACAAACAAAACUCUUCAAGCUCAAGGGAUUCAAUUAGGUUUGAGAAAUUGUGUGGGCAUGGUAUUCCAGCGAUUGAGGAAACCUCACACACUUAGAAGAAUCCGCAAAGAAGAUUCUACUAUUGUUCUCGAAUGAAGUCGAAUAAUUGUGGGUUAUGGCAAUGGGUUGAUCCUGAGCUAAGCGCAUACUACAAGUUGUGCUUCAAUAAUAUUAAAAACGAAAGGGAUAAAUUGGUAGAGCAACUGAACUGCAGAACCAUGCUGGUGGAAAUGAAGAAUGGAGAAAUCCGAGCUAAAGCUGAAGAAGUGGCUGCAAUAAAGCUGAGAUUUGAUGAGACAAAUGCCGAGCUUCAAGAUUUGAAGAAGAUUAAAGAAAAACUGGAAUGAAAAAUAAAGUAUAUGCAGUUGAUUGUAUUUUUUUUGUGCAUUUUAUGUUUUGGUUAAGUGUGUAUAGUUUUGGUGUAGUUGUAGUAGAAGUAAUAACUCUAUUGAUGUAAUGGAUGUUUUGUUGGUAUGAAGAAUGGGCAUUGCCCAUUGAUAAA